rnacentral:rRNA from 1 species
UACGUAGGGGGCAAGCGUUGUCCGGAUUUAUUGGGCGUAAAGAGCUCGUAGGUGGUUUGGUAAGUCGGAUGUGAAAUCUCCAGGCUCAACCUGGAGGGGUCAUUCGAUACUGCCAUGACUAGAGGUCGGUAGGGGAGUGUGGAAUUCCUGGUGGAGCGGUGAAAUGCGCAGAUAUCAGGAGGAACACCAAUUGCGAAGGCAGCUCGCUGGGACGUUACUGACGCUGAGACGCGAAAGCGUGGGGAGCAAACAGG